rnacentral:rRNA from 1 species
AAACAUCGCCUCUUGAACAGAUAUAAGAGGUCCAGCCUGCCCGGUGAUACAAUUUAACGGCCGCGGUAUACUGACCGUGCGAAGGUAGCAUAAUCACUUGUUCUUUAAAUGAGGACUAGUAUGAACGGCACCACGAGGGCUUUACUGUCUCCUCCCUUCAAUCAGUGAAACUGACCCCCCUGUGAAGAGGCAGGGAUACUACUAUAAGACGAGAAGACCCCAUGGAGCUUUAAACCCAACAACAGCCCAAACACCACCACCCCUAAAAGUUUUAACGGUAUUGCUAGUUGGUUUUAGGUUGGGGUGACCGCGGAGUAUAAACUAUCCUCCACGACGAACGGGCCUACCCCCUUACCCAAGAGCUACACCUCUAAGGAUUAACACAUUAACGUAAAAUGAUCCAAAUAUUUGAUCAACGAACCAAGUUACCCUGGGGAUAACAGCGCAAUCCAUUUUUAGAGCCCCUAUCGACAAAUGGGUUUACGACCUCGAUGUUGGAUCAGGGUAUCCAGGAGGUGCAGCCGCUUCCAAUGGUUUGUUUGUUCAACAAUUAAAA